rnacentral:rRNA from 1 species
UACGUAGGGCGCAAGCGUUGUCCGGAAUUAUUGGGCGUAAAGAGCUCGUAGGCGGCCUGUUACGUCUGCUGUGAAAUCCCGGGGCUUAACCCCGGGCGUGCAGUGGAUACGGGCAGGCUGGAGGCAGGCAGGGGAGACUGGAAUUCCUGGUGUAGCGGUGAAAUGCGCAGAUAUCAGGAGGAACACCGGUGGCGAAGGCGGGUCUCUGGGCCGAUACUGACGCUGAGGAGCGAAAGCGUGGGGAGCGAACAGG